UGGAUGGCGAGCGUCGGCUGAUACCUGAUUGUAGCGACGGCGCAACGUGGCGGUGAACGGUGGUGGUGACGAAGACAGGGCAGCGACGGCGCCUCAGCUCCCAGAUCUGGCACCUUUCCCUCUCUCUCCGAGUUUGCUCACUGUUCGGCCUUGGCUCCGCCCACGAGCUCCUCCGACUCCGAUCUCUUCCCUCUUACUCUGGCCAGAUCCAAGCCUCCACCGGCCGGAUCUGACCUCCUCGGACUCGCUCGCCGGCGACCUCCCCCGAAGUCUCUCGGUGGGAGGUCAG
rnacentral:lncRNA from 1 species